rnacentral:rRNA from 1 species
UGGGGAAUUUUGGACAAUGGGCGCAAGCCUGAUCCAGCCAUGCCGCGUGCAGGAUGAAGGCCUUCGGGUUGUAAACUGCUUUUGUACGGAACGAAAAGGUGCCUUCUAAUAAAGGGCGCUCAUGACGGUACCGUAAGAAUAAGCACCGGCUAGCUACGUGCCAGCAGCCGCGGUAAUACGUAGGGUGCGAGCGUUAAUCGGAAUUACUGGGCGUAAAGCGUGCGCAGGCGGUUUUGUAAGACAGAUGUGAAAUCCCCGGGCUUAACCUGUGAACUGCGUUUGUGACUGCAAGGCUGGAGUACGGCAGAGGGGGGUGGAAUUCCACGUGUAGCAGUGAAAUGCGUAGAGAUGUGGAGGAACACCGAUGGCGAAGGCAGCCCCCUGGGCCUGUACUGACGCUCAUGCACGAAAGCGUGGGGAGCAAACA